CGUGUAGGCGGCCAAACAGGUCAGCUGUGAAAACUCGAGGCUCAACCUCGAGACGUCGGUUGAAACCGUUUGGCUAGAGUCCGGAAGAGGAGAGUGGAAUUCCCGGUGUAGCGGUGAAAUGCGCAGAUAUCGGGAAGAACACCCGUGGCGAAGGCGGCUCUCUGGGACGGUACUGACGCUGAGACGCGAAAGCGUGGGGAGCGAACAGGAUUAGAUACCCUGGUAGUCCACGCCGUAAACGAUGGGCACUAGGUGUGGCGGGUAUCGACUCCCGCUGUGCCGAAGCUAACGCAUUAAGUGCCCCGCCUGGGGAGUACGGCCGCAAGGCUAAA
rnacentral:rRNA from 1 species